rnacentral:rRNA from 1 species
CAGUAGCCGCGGUAAUACGAAGGGGGCUAGCGUUGUUCGGACUUACUGGGCGUAAAGGGCGCGUAGGCGGGCGAAUAAGUCAGGGGUGAAAUCCCAAGGCUCAACCUUGGAACUGCCUUUGAUACUGUUUGUCUUGAGUUCGAGAGAGGUAAGUGGAACUGCGAGUGUAGAGGUGAAAUUCGUAGAUAUUCGCAAGAACACCGGUGGCGAAGGCGGCCCACUGGUCUGUAACUGACGCUGAGGAGCGAAAGCGUGGGGAGCGAACAGGAUUAGAUACCCCAGUAGUCCCUGUCUCUUAUAA